AUAGGAAAUGAUUUCAUCUUAGAAUUGCUUUGAAAAAUCAUAUUGUGGUUGUCCUUACAAAUGCCUUGACAUGAAUGUUCGAGGAACUGGUCCUCUAUUCUUGGCAUGACAACAAUCUUUAUAAUGAUUACCGCACAUAUUAGUGGGAGAAGAUUCGAGAAUACGGUGUGGAUGACUCGAAUCUCAAACCUGUUGAUUGGAGUAAAGACGUGUUGUGUAUGUUGUUACUUAAUGAAUUGAAUAUUGAAGUGAUUAUCCAUGUUUCACUGGAGGGAAACUGCUGUUCGAAGAGGAUGAGGCAGUUCAACUCAAGGAUGUACAUAUUGGGCCGCACCCGUGUUUAGGGUUUUUCUAUGUAACAAAUAAGCCGUUCUUUGUAACACAGGCUGGAAGUAAUGUCACGCAUACGGUUUCUUUUAAGAUGUCAGAGAAAUGGGGCGGCAAGUUACGACUGACAGGUGUGAAAUGGACUUCCGAAGCGUACACCUUCAUUAGGUGUUCAUUUUUGGGGAAUUGAUGACUAAAAUGUAGAUGUCUGGCUACAAGUGCUGCUGCCUGUCAAGUUUCUCCAUGAUUGUUCACAGGCUGUCUAGUUUGUCAUAGUUGUACAUACUUUUCUAAGAUCCACAGCAGUUAGAAAUUGGAAUUUACUGCGAGCUAUUGAAUUUGUUAGAUCCACAGCAGUUAGAAAUUGGAAUUUACUGCGAGCUAUUGAAUUUGUUUUUUUUUA